UUCGUAACAAUGUAGCACCGCCCCUGCUGUGAUGUAGACACGUGGAACAGUUACUUCCGUAGUGAGAUUCUCCGAAAAAAUACACCGUACAAGUGCCCAUGAGGGAAGCAUGCCAGGAAGUUUCUAGGGGCUUGUCGCACAAACGAAAUCCUGCUGUUAAGUAAUGCAUGGCGUGACUGCGUGUGGGGAGCUGAAACACCCAGCUGAACAAGGCCUUUAACGUUAACUGCCGCCCUGCCCCCGUCCUUGGCCUGUUUUGAAACCGGAGUGGUGAGUCACUGCUCUCUCGGUUUAGAAAAACAGAUCCGGCCAGGCUGGGGCCCGGCGGGGGGAUGGGAAGCCGGCGAUGGAUGAACAGCGGAGGUGGACGCAGCUGGACUCCCACUCCCAAGGACCCCGACAUCCUGACAACCGCCCGGCAGUGUUCCCAUAGUGACCGGGGGGCUGAUUUGAGAGAAGGGAAAGCACCGCCUGAAUUAAUUGAUAUGCGCAUCUUUCCAGGCCAGUAAUCGUGAUAGCAGAGUCAGUUGGCCAUGUUUCUCAUAAAAGGGGAAGCCCCGGAUCACCCCCCCCCCCAAGAAAAACGGACAGACCGCGAAUUUACGUCAUUACUCUGUUGCCAUGUUUUGUUUGUUUUAUUUUGUUGUGUUUUUUCCUGGAGUUGCUCAAACACGGCAUGAGCCUAUAUAUACAGUGCAUGUAACCCUGUUUUUUUUUUUUGGCAUACCAGAGUAAAGUGUUUCACAAGCUAAAAAUAACGUAUUAUAUUUUGUAUUAUUUAGCUGUUAGUUUGAAUGCUCUUCUAUUACUUGCCAGUUAAAUUUUCCAUUUUCGUUAUUCAUUGAUUGGUUGAUUUUCGUAACCUUCUUGGCUAUAGAUAAAGGAGUCGUUAAAAAGGGUGUCAGUAGGUCAACUUUUCUCUAAACUUUUCGGUCAAUGCUUGUCUGGCAAAAAGUGAUUUCCGAUUUUUCUGUGUGUAUUAUAUAGAUAAAAUAAAGUCUCUGCAGUUGACAGCGACUCUGUGUUACUGUGUACAUUAUAAUGAAUCAAGUUAUUUUUGGUCACUUAAAGUAUCCUCAUAGAACUGUGACGUAUUUGUUACCAUUUCUUCUGCCAUCUUUGCCAGAUCUGUCUUGAAAAAUAAAUUUUUACAUUUACGCCAUCUCAUAUCAAAUUAUUAGGUUGAAUUGUUUCAUGUUCAGACUUAAAACUUAUUUGUUUUUUUAAAAAGUUUAUCUUGUAAGAGCAAGGAUCACGUUUUGCUUUUUACCUGGUUAAAUAAAGGAAAUGUAGCAUUUGCCAAAAAAGA